UUGAGUAGUCCCAUGAUGAGUAUAUAACAGUGAAGUAGUAUCCCUAUUCAGUAUUCGUUCCUCUUCUAAAAACACUGCUCAUCGAUCCAUCACUGACUGUUUUCCAUUCAUCAUAUAUUCCAAAGUUAUCAUUAGGAUAACAAUCUGUGAAGACAUAGAGAUGAGUGAACCUCCAAAAUAUGCCUAUCCCUAUCCUGCUCAAGGUCAAUAUCAGGGGCCUCCAGUGAUGGCACCGCCACAAUAUUAUGCUGCGCCUCCGCCCCGGAGAGAACCUGGUUUUCUUGAGGGAUGUCUCGCGGCUCUAUGUUGUUGCUGGAUAAUUGAUGAGUGUUGCUGCGACCCCUCCAUCAUAUUCAUAUGCUGAUGAUGAUGAAUUUUCCCAUGAAAAAAUGUUUAUGUAUCCUUUCUUGUUUUGUGAUGUUUAAAUUUGCAUGUAAGAGCUUAUGUAGAUUUAUGUCUGAAUCAUUUCUUCAGUAGAAUUUUAUUUUCUUUUGUUUGUUGUCGCUGCUCACUAAUUAUGCAUAUUGCACAAAGCAUAAAUAUUAAUUUUUCUUGAUAGUAAUGAAUAUGUAUUGAAAGUAUAUGUGAAACAUUUAUGUCAAUAUCUCAGUGUCAUUAAGAAAACUCUCGUACAAAUCAAAGAUGACAACACUUUAUCAUUUUUCUUGGACCCAGCGGCUGACUUCCCCAUUAUGGAAGUAUUCGUUGAAUCACAACAAACUCACCCCAAGGCUAAUCCACAAAUGAGCCAACAGUGAGGAGAAGCCAACCCACAAAUGAGCUUACAGUAGGAAGAAUACAUGGAGCUUUUGGCCGUCCAAUGUUUCCCUUCUAAUUCUAACACCAAUUAUUUGGCAAGUACUUCCAAGCUCAAUUUUGGAUACGUCUUCUGGGUGUUCAAAUGGUGUAUUGAAGUGUUUCAAUUUUGUGGCAACAUUAUUAGUGUAGACGGGACUCGUUUAUACACAAAAUACAAGCCCAAAAAAUUGAUUGCAGCUGCUAUAGAUGGAAAUCAACAGGCAUGUUAUAAGAGGGCGACGUGGGAUGUGCCUUACUUCUGGCCGUCAUCCCGGUAUCAUUAAAGCAGUAUGGGAAAGUUCGGACGUUGUGCCACCUCACGUAGUACACCGGUAUUGCAUGAAGCACGUGUGUUCUAAUUUCAAAAGUCGUUACAAAAAUGUGUAUUGAAGGAUCUUUGUUGGAGAGCUUGUUCUGAAUAUCGAAUAAGAAAGUUCAAUUAAAUUAUGGAAAAGAUAAAGAAUCAAAAACUAGAUGCAUUUGAAUUCUUGGACCAAAUUAACAAGGAAAAAUGGACAGCUUCUCAUGAUGGUGGAUAACGAUGCGGUAUUUUGACAACCAAUAUGUCAGAAUGCAUCAGUGGAGUUUUGGAAGGGGCUCGCCACCUGCCAGUAACUGCAAUAUUCAAAAUAAUGCUUUAACAUACUGUCUAUUAUUUUUGUGCAAGGGAGGCGAAGAAUCGUGUAACGUUGAGCAACAACCAACUAUGGAUGAAUUUUGCAUACAAGAUGUUUACGCGUUGGCAAGAAAAACUUGUUGAGCAUACGGUCACAAAAUACCAUUACUUUCAACAGUUCACCUCGAUCGUUACAAAAUGUCAGUAUGGACAUGGACUCAAUACUCAUGUUGUCAAAAUUGCCAACCAAAAAUAUUCAUGCGGCAAGUGGAUUCAAUUCGACAUCCCCUACUCUCAAGCUCAAAAAG